rnacentral:rRNA from 1 species
UACAGAGGGGGCUAGCGUUAUUCGGAAUUAUUGGGCGUAAAGGGCGCGUAGGCGGCCAUGCGUGUCUUCCGUGAAAUCCCUCGGCUUAACUGAGGACGUGCGGAAGAAACUGCAAGGCUCGAGUCCGGGGAGAGGGGGGUGGAAUUCCCAGUGUAGCGGUGAAAUGCGUAGAUAUUGGGAGGAACACCGGUGGCGAAGGCGGCCCCCUGGACCGGAACUGACGGCUGAGGCGCG